rnacentral:lncRNA from 1 species
AAUAAAUGUAGCCACUUUUUCCAGCUAAAAAACAUCUCUUUCUGUGGGUACCAUCCAAAGAACAACAAGUGAGUACAAGGGGCAGACACGAGAGUCUCACUGGUAGUCUUCAGACACGGUGGGUGGGUAGGACUCCGAAUCUUGUCUCACAGAUGCCUGCCUUCCACAGGUACUUUGGGUUUAUCACUAAGCACCCUGCUGACCACCGGUUUGCCUGCCAUGUCUUUGUGUCUGAAGAUUCCACCAAAGCCCUGGCAGAGUCUGUGGGGUACGUGUGUGUGUGUAAGUGUGUGUGUAAGUGUGCUGUCCUAUCUGUGCUCAGUGUCAGCAUCACCCCUUCCCUCUAGUUCUGGAAACCCCAAUCCGG